rnacentral:rRNA from 1 species
AUACGUAGGUCCCGAACGUUGCGCGAAAUUACUGGGCGUAAAGGGUCCGUAGGCGGUCUGGUAAGUGGAAGGUGAAAGCCUGGGGCUCAACUCCAGAGUUGCCUUCCAAACUGCCGGACUUGAGGCAGGGAGAGGUCGGCGGAAUUCCCGGUGUAGCGGUGAAAUGCGUAGAUAUCAGGAGGAACACCAGUGGCGAAGGCGGCCGACUGGAACUGUCCUGACGCUGAGGGACGAAAGCCAGGGGAGCGAACCGGAUUAGAAACCCCAGUAGUCC